UACGUAGGGGGCAAGCGUUGUCUGGAUUUAUUGGGCGUAAAGAGCGUGUAGGCGGCCGUACAGGUCAGCUGUGAAAACUCGAGGCUCAACCUCGAGACGUCGGUUGAAACCGUACGGCUAGAGUCCGGAAGAGGAGAGUGGAAUUCCCGGUGUAGCGGUGAAAUGCGCAGAUAUCGGGAAGAACACCCGUGGCGAAGGCGGCUCUCUGGGACGGUACUGACGCUGAGACGCGAAAGCGUGGGGAGCGAACAGG
rnacentral:rRNA from 1 species